AUAAUCUGUGGCCCGUAAGCUCACAUCAGACAAUUACUUAGUGGACAGCCAGUAGCCAGCAUUCAUUCCACUCGAAUCAACUGGCCAUGAAUAAGCGGAGCACUCAAACACUCACUUGACACUCACGCUGGCACUCGAAUAGAAAUGGGCAAACAGCGAGUGGCCGAAAUGCGAGUCGGAAAAUCCAUUGGCUGUCCCGCUCUCUCAUUUUCCAGAACAAGGAUGCGAAUGCGAAUGCGAACGCGGAUACGGAUACGGACAUGGACAUGGACUACGGAUCGACCGGACCCAUUCCGGCCAUGUUGUAAUGUAAUGUAAUGCGCGUGCUGCCAGCCGAAAUAAAGAAAAUGAAGCGUUACUCGCUACGGGGUCGCAGAGAGGUC
ensembl:ncRNA lncRNA:CR43495 long non-coding RNA:CR43495